rnacentral:rRNA from 1 species
GAUGAACGCUGGCGGCGUGCCUAAUACAUGCAAGUAGAACGCUGAAGGAGGAGCUUGCUCUUCUGGAUGAGUUGCGAACGGGUGAGUAACGCGUAGGUAACCUGCCUGGUAGCGGGGGAUAACUAUUGGAAACGAUAGCUAAUACCGCAUGACAACAGUUAUUGCAUGAUAACUGUUUAAAAGGGGCAACUGCUCCACUACCAGAUGGACCUGCGUUGUAUUAGCUAGUUGGUGAGGUAACGGCUCACCAAGGCGACGAUACAUAGCCGACCUGAGAGGGGGAUCGGCCACACUGGGACUGGGACACGGCCCAGACUCCUACGGGAGGCAGCAGGAGGGAAUCUUCGGCAAUGGACGGAAGUCUGACCGAGCAACGCCGCGUGAGUGAAGAAGGUUUUCGGAUCGUAAAGCUCUGUUGUAAGAGAAGAACGAGUGUGAGAGUGGAAAGUUCACACUGUGACGGUAUCUUACCAGAAAGGGACGGCUAACUACGUG